GCGGCCUAUCAGCUUGUUGGUGAGGUAAUGGCUCACCAAGGCGACGACGGGUAGCCGGCCUGAGAGGGUGACCGGCCACACUGGAACUGAGACACGGUCCAGACUCCUACGGAAGGCAGCAGUGGGGAAUAUUGCACAAUGGGCGAAAGCCUGAUGCAGCAACGCCGCGUGAGGGAUGGAGGCCUUCGGGUUGUAAACCUCUUUUAGCAGGGAAGAAGCGAAAGUGACGGUACCUGCAGAAAAAGCACCGGCUAACUACGUGCCAGCAGCCGCGGUAAUACGUAGGGUGCAAGCGUUGUCCGGAAUUAUUGGGCGUAAAGAGCUCGUAGGCGGUUUGUCGCGUCUGCUGUGAAAAUCCGAGGCUCAACCUCGGACCUGCAGUGGGUACGGGCAGACUAGAGUGCGGUAGGGGAGACUGGAAUUCCU
rnacentral:rRNA from 1 species